rnacentral:rRNA from 1 species
AGCAGCCGCGGUAAUUCCAGCUCCAAUAGCGUAUAUUAAAGUUGUUGCAGUUAAAAAGCUCGUAGUUGAAUUUCGGGGUUAGUAAGUUGGUCAUGCCUUUGGUAUGCACUGGCUUUACUGAUUCCUCCUUCUUGACGAACCGUGAUGUCAUUAAUUUGGUGUUGCGGGAAAUCAGGACUGUUACUUUGAAAAAAUUAGAGUGUCUAAAGCAGGCUAACGCUUGAAUACAUUAGCAUGGAAUAAUGAAAUAGGACGUUAAUCCUAUUUUGUUGGUUUCUAGGAUCGACGUAAUGAUUAAUAGGGAUAGUUGGGGGCAUUAGUAUUCAAUUGUCAGAGGCGAAAUUCUUGGAUUUAUUGAAGACUAACUACUGCGAAAGCAUUUGCCAAGGAUGUUUUCAUUAAUCAAGAACGAAAGUUAGGGGAUCGAAGACGAUCAGAUACCGUCGUAGUCUUAACCAUAAACUAUGCCGACUAGGGAUCGGAUGAUGUUAAUUCUUUAAUGACUCA